rnacentral:rRNA from 1 species
GACAGAGGGUGCAAACGUUGUUCGGAAUUACUGGGCGUAAAGCGCGUGUAGGCGGCCCUGCAAGUCGGAUGUGAAAUCCCACGGCUCAACCGUGGAAGUGCAUUCGAAACUGCAGGGCUAGAGUCCUGGAGAGGAAGGUGGAAUGCUUGGUGUAGAGGUGAAAUUCGUAGAUAUCAAGCGGAACACCGGUGGCGAAGGCGGCCUUCUGGACAGUGACUGACGCUGAGACGCGAAAGCGUGGGGAGCAAGCAGG